rnacentral:rRNA from 1 species
CCUACGGGAGGCAGCAGUGGGGAAUAUUGGGCAAUGGGCGCAAGCCUGACCCAGCAACGCCGCGUGAAGGAAGAAGGCUCUCGGGUUGUAAACUUCUUUUAUCAGGGACGAAGCAAGUGACGGUACCUGAUGAAUAAGCCACGGCUAACUACGUGCCAGCAGCCGCGGUAAUACGUAGGGGGCAAGCGUUAUCCGGAUUUACUGGGUGUAAAGGGCGUGUAGGCGGGAAAGCAAGUCAGAUGUGAAAGCCAUGGGCUCAACCUGGGGCCUGCUGUUGAAACUGUUUUUCUUGAGUACUGGGGAGGCAGGCGGAAUGCCUAGUGUAGCGGUGAAAUGCGUAGAUAUUAGGAGGAACACCAGUGGCGAAGGCGGUCUGCUGGACAGCGACUGACGUUGAGGCGCGAAGGCGUGGGGAGCAAACAGGAUUAGAUACCCUAGUAGUC